ACUCCUACGGGAGGCAGCAGCAAGGAAUUUUGGGCAAUGAGCGAAAGCUUGACCCAGCGACACCGCGUGAGGGAAGAAGGCCUUCGGGUUGUAAACCUCUUUUCUUGGGGAAGAAUUUUGACGGUACCCAAGGAAUAAGCCUCGGCUAACUACGUGCCAGCAGCCGCGGUAAUACGUAGGAGGCGAACGUUAUUCGGAUUUACUGGGCGUAAAGGGAGCGUAGGCGGUUCCUUAAGUCAGAUGUGAAAUCUUCUGAUUCAAUCAGAAGGCGUCAUUUGAUACUGAGGGACUUGAGAGCAGCAGAGGGAAAUGGAAUCCCCGGUGUAGCGGUGAAAUGCGUAGAUAUUGGGGAGAACACCAGUGGCGAAGGCGAUUUCCCAGGUUGUUUCUGACGCUGAGGCUCGAAAGCGUGGGGAGCGAAGCGGAUUAGAUACCCGCGUAGUCCACGCCCUAAACGGUGGACACUAGAUAUAGGAGGUAUCGACCCCUUCUGUGUCGAAGCUAACGCCUUAAGUGUCCCGCCUGGGGAGUACGGCCGCAAGGCCGAAACUCAAAGGAAUUGACGGGGGCCCGCACAAGCAGCGGAGCGUGUGGUUUAAUUCGAUGCUACACGAAGAACCUUACCAGGGCUUGACAUGACAGAAGUAGGAAUCCGAAAGGACGACGACCUGUAUCCAGUCAGGAGCUGUCACAGGUGCUGCAUGGCUGUCGUCAGCUCGUGCCGUGAGGUGUUGGGUUAAGUCCCGCAACGAGCGCAACCCUUGUCCUAUGUUAAAUUCUCAUAGGAGACUGCCUUGUACAGCAAGGAGGAAGGAAAGGAUGACGUCAAGUCAGCAUGGCCUUUAUGCCCUGGGCUACACACACGCUACAAUGGUGAUACAGANGGUUGCCAAGGAGCGAUCCGGANCUAAUCCCUUAAAAUCAUCCUCAGUUCAGAUUGC
rnacentral:rRNA from 1 species